rnacentral:lncRNA from 1 species
CCAAUUCCGUUGUCCGGCCGGAGUUGAUAAUUGUCUCCACUGGCGGUGAGUGAGGUAAUUUUUCCCUAAAACUCCGUCUUUUAUGAUCUGUAAAUUGAGUUAUAGUGCUUUGACACUGCUCUCGCUGCAUAAUGAUAGCCCUAACUUCAAUCUCUCCUUCUCUCUGCGAUAUUUAGGUAAGUAAAGAGAACCAUUGAUGGUUGAGCCUUGAGGUGUGUAACUUACGAAAAAGUGAUGGUUUAGGUGUUCUUUUUUUUACCAUUAAUUCAAUAAAAAAGGAGUAUUAGUAAUCAAAUGUUGAAACUUUCUACAAUAGUUAUCCUUCUGUAUUGAGGUUUUAGCGGGCGUGAAAGACUUCAAUCUGAAGUCAUUUUCAAAGUGCUUGGAUUGACAUAUAGUUGAUUCAUUGAUUUUCCUACUAUACAAAGCAAUGUAUUUACCGCCCGGUAUCUAAGCAAUUGAAUUCUAUUAAGUUUCCAAAUCCAAAUCAAUCCAUCCACAACGGAUAAAAGUAAAGUUAAUAUCAUUUCUUAGAAGAAAUAAGGAUUAGUAUAUUAGAGAAUUUCUUCUGUAUGUUCUUUAAUAUGUGUUACCUAAGUUGGGGGAUUUUCGGAAACAAUCUCUCUACUCCUAUGAGGUAGGGGCAAGGUCUGGGUACACUAUUCCCUGCCCACACGCCACCUAUGAGGUAGGGGCAGGGUCUGUUGUUUAUAUAAGAGAACGUGACAACUAACAUCCCCAACUGUUGGUAUAGUUUCUGUUUUCUGAUUAUAGUUAAGUUGUUAAAGAUGAGAUUGGCACUUGCUAAUUUCAUUUUCUUGUAGAGUUUUAUUUGGGGAGGAAGAACAUCUUUAGUUUUAUGCUGGAAUAUACCAAAUAUUUAUGUACCAUUGAAACUGUAUCAUUUGAUUGGGAGAAAUCUUCAUAUUUUUCUCUUGCAAUUUGAAGGAAUCUCAAAAGUUAGAGGCAAAACAGAGAUGUUUCAUGUUGAUUAGCAUUGCCAUUGUGAUCUGAUGAGGUACAUUAACUUAUUCAGCUCAUUGCUUUUCGUUAUUUUGGACAAAUUUAUUACAUAGCGUGUUUGGUCAUCUCAGUCCGUGUGUUGAAAUCAUGAAACAAAGUAACUUUACUAAUUUAUAAAAUAGUGUCAAUAUUUUGGGACUCUAAAACCAAAAGACUCACACAUGCUCCCUCCAUUCACUUUUACUAGUUUACUUUGGAUUUGCAUAUCCCUUAAGAAAUAAUGGUUGAUAUGCAUAUUUUACCACAAUGCCAAUAUUUAUUGAUGAAUACUCUUAGGUCUUGGGAAAUGAUUUGUGAAAUAAGUAACUAAUGUUGACGUUAAAUAUAUCUUUUUUUUGUCUAUUCUUGAUAUGUUAAAAGUGAUAAGUAAAAGUGAAAAUCUACUUUUGGAAUAGUAGAUAGUUAAAAAUUAACAGAGGUAAUAAUAUAUACUGUCUAAACUAGCUGUUUGAUGUCAUGCUUGCAAUGCUUAAUUAGAAACUAACAUCACACAUAUAGUCUAAGAGAAACGUUUAUAAGAGUGUGAAGAAGUAAUUAUGGACAUGGUUACAGAAAGCAUGAAGAAUCCGUAAAUAAAAUGUAGGAAAUCGUUGUAGAAUUAUUUUCUCCUAUUCAAGUUUUAAAUGGAAUAGGAGAUCAUUUUCUCAUCUGAAUUACACAUAAACCAAAUACAAUAUUAGCAAUACGAAAUUCCAGCUAAUUCUGUUUGUUCAUCAAUCAAUAUAAUAGUACUCUUAAGGGGGACAUACUACUUGAUCGUUUACAUCAGAUUAACGAAUACAAAAUUAUAUAAACUAUCUUCUAAUCAUGAUUAAGUGAAAAUGUAAUAAUCAAGACAAGAAAAUAGCGACAAAUAUUUAAUAUUUGAUUAAUAAUGUGCGUGGAUCACAAUCUUUAUGAAAUCUUAAAUAGAAAGACGUAAUCCUUUUAUUGUUAUCAUCAUGACCAGUUAUUUUGGAUGGCGAAAGACGAUAAAAGGCGACAAGGGUUUGCCUCGCCACAAGGCGACGCGAGCGGCGAGGUGCUCACCUUUUUAAAGUGCGGCACCAUUUAAUACCAAAAAAUUUAAAUAUUUAAUUGCAUAUGUAAAUAAUCAAAAUCUCAAUAGCAAUAACAUAUUAGCAAAUAUGUCAAUUCAAAAACUGAAAAUAGAUAACACAUACUAAAAUAGAACUUGAAUGAGAAAAAACAUAACAAAAGUCAAAACAAAGGUAGAAGUGAUUCUAAAGUCUUCUGAAGAAGGAAAAAGAAACAGAGGAAGAAGAAAUAUGAAGAUGAAAAGAAGAAAUAUGUAUUGGUUAGACUUUGGAGUCGCCAGAAAAGUCUGGCUAGUCGCCGGAGGAGUCUAGUCGAAAACCCUAAAAUUACCUUUUAACUUUUGAAAUCCUAAAUUGUUCGCCUUUUUUUAAGAAAAUACAAAUGGUGACACCUUUCUCGCCUCUUGCCUCUAGCCUUUUGUCAUCAUGGCGUUGCAUUUUGAAGAUCGCCUCGCCACAAAGCUAAAAGGAUUUUGAAGAUCGCCUCGCCUCUCGCUAUUGGUGACGAGGCGAUCGCCUUGAACAACACUGAUCACGACCAUCAACUCAAGGUUUUUGCUUGUUCUUGAGUUGAUGAAUCAUUUGUUAUUUAAAAUUUUGUACGAAUAUAGAGCUAGACUUUGAUCACACAUAUGGAGUUAUAGAAACUUGCGGAUCACCACCAGAGAUGAAGAACUUGUAGGUCUCUGCUAGAGAGAUGUAUGUAGUUCUCUCCUCUUCUUCAGAUGAUCUGCUGGUUACGGAUGCCUUCCCUCAAUUCUUUUGAGUGUCUCCCUUGAGAGGUAUGUAACACCCCUAUUUAUAGUUGUAGAAGGUAGACUAUUUAAGUGUAGCUUAACUCUCUUGCUUGAUUUUGAUUGGCUCAUUUGAUGAGGUCACAUUUAAUUGGCCAAGACAUGUCAAUUGGAACAUUUGUCUGCCUUUGGUUGGUGUUUAAUAUGACUAGGAGUGCCACAUCAUUUGAAUACGUAUCAUCAUUUUAUUUGUCCUUUAUUUGACUUGAUGCGUCAUGUCAUUUGACACAUGGCAUAGGCCUUGGCGUAAUCGAGCGGGCUCACUAUUUGAAGACCAACUCAAUGGACUAGCUCACGUGAAAUUGGACUUCGCUUUAAAUCCAUAUCUUGGAAUUAAAAAAUUUAAUCUUGAUUUGGGUUUGAUAUUUAUUGAAUUUAUAAAGUUAUCUAAAUUUAAUCUAGAUUUAUUUCCAUAAACUCCCAAGUCUACUAAUUCUUCAAGAUUUUGCUCUAGUGUUAUGUGCCUAGAGCAAAAGUGAACUUGUAGAAACUGACAUCCUUGACUCAUUGGUUUAGAUUAGUUUUAAGCUAGAAGAGGUCAUGGGUUCAAUACUACUUGACCACAAUUUUUUUUAUGAGUAUAUUGUAUUUUUCAAAACAAAGUUUAGUUUGAGGUUUGAACCCCCGACUUCAAACACCAAAAGCGGACGGUGAACCAACAUGCAAUUAGUUUAUCCGUAUCAAGUAACAUCAUUUUGUUUUACAUAUAGCUUUAUACAUAGUAUUAAUAUAUAUAUUUUGUAAAAUUUUCGACGAAGCGGUGUCGCUUGACACCCCUUCGCUAAACGUAAGUCUGCCCUGUUGAGCUCCCCUAUUCUUCAUAUUUGCAAAGAAAUACGCAGAACUAGAAUCCUCUAAUUGGAGCCAUCAGACUCUAGAUUUCAGCCUAUUUAUGCUCUCCUCAGUCAUGCUCCAUUUUUCUAGUUUCAAUUUCGAUGACUUUUCCUGCUCAAACAAUAUAGGGUCGUGCCUAUGAUCCCUCAUUUGUUCUUUCUUGAUGAUCAGUUAGAUCUUUCCUGCAUUGACCUUCUUAUCUGCUUGAAGGAGUUUAUUAGGGGAAAUAAGGUGAGUUUCAUAGCAAUAUUGGAACACAAGGUGAAAAGAAUAAAGUCAGCAAUGUUAUAAAGAAGAUAGCCCCAGGAUGGGAAUGGCAAGCAAACUAAGCUCAAAGACUAGAAAUAAAAUUUGGUUUUUGUGGAAUCUCCAACUAUAGUGGAGUACACUAUGCUUAAUAUAGGAAAGUACCCUUCGGGGUGGCCCAAUGGUUUGGGCUUGGGAAUUCCAUGUUGGAGGUCUCAAGUUCGAAAUCCCUUGCCAGCGAAAGCAAGGGGUUUGCCUCCUAUGUUGUUUGCGAGCUAUUGUAUAGGAGCGAAGGUUUUACCCUGUGCACACCCAAAGAGUAGUGGCCGCAGGUUUCCCUUGUCAUAAAAAAUAUAAUAUAGGAAAGUUUCAAAGUCAUAGUCAAUACCAACUAUUACUAUUGUUAGUCUUAGUACAAUUUUUCAUAUUUACUUUGGUCAAUUUCUCACUUUAUUUGUUUUUCAUUCUUCACAUGAUUUACUAUAAAUUUACCAUUUUCCUCAAUUGCAAUUGCAUCAAUAUAUUGGUUACUAUUUUUAUUUACACAUUUGGUGCAUAACACUAACAUCCACUAGCCAAAAGAACCCUUAAAAAUUAUGUCCUCCUCAUGAGCAGGAUAAAAAAUGGCCUUGGGCAAGAUUGUUUUAUCAAUAGUAGGCUCUAUAGGCUCUAUUGUUGUGACAACAGUGUUGGUUCGUUCGAUAAUCCACGACUACAUCCCCUUGGAACUCCAUGAAUAUCUCUUCUUUGGAUUCAAAAACAUGUUCACUAAGUUCUCGAAUCAGCUAACGAUGGUGAUUGCCGAAUUUGAUGGCCUUAUCAACAACGAAAUUUAUGAAGUUGCUGAAAUUUAUUUGGGCAACAAGUUGUCACCUAACAUCCAUCGACUUAAAAUUAGUAAGCCUGAGAAGGAGAAGAAUUUCAACAUCGCCAUGGAAUGUAUGAAGAGGUAAUGUAUUGCACACACAGACACACAUCUAUGUAUAUAUAUAAUGACAAUUGCAUGUUAUGCUAUUUGUUAUCAUAGAAUUUUUAGACUAAACUAAAAAUUAUGUUGCUUGACUCUUAAAAGAUAUUUACUACUAAGAAUACAUGAAUUAGUGGUGGAAAAUUGUUGUAGCUAAACAACAAUAUCCGUCACUACAUAUUAUCAAAAAAUUGUGCUAGAUAUGAGCUAUUUAGCACAAAUUUCAUAGCAAAUUUCAGUUUUUUUGUAAUGAUUGUCGAGUUAUGUCGGUACUUUCUAAAGCAAUGCACUUUUGAAGAAUUUGACACACGUAUGACCACAUUUUUUAGGGUCCGAGUAACAUAGAAUAGAAGUAGUCAGGCGGUCAACUUAAUGCUUAAAGCUAAAUGUUCAUAAGAAGCAUCAUAACAUCCACUAGCCAAAAAUAAAAAAUAUGUCCUCUUCAUCAGCAGAAUAAAAAAUGGUCUUGGCCAAGAUUGUUUUAUCGACAGUAGGCUCUAUUGUUGUGACAACCAUGUUGGUUUGUUUGAUAAUCCACGACUACAUCCCCUUGGAACUCCAUGAAUAUCUCUUCUUUGGACUAAAAAAUAUGUUCACUGAGUUCUCGAAUAAGCUAACGAUGACGAUAGUCGAAUUUGAUGGCCUUGUCAACAACGGAAUUUAUGAAGCUGCUGAAAUUUAUUUGGGCAACAAGUUGUCACCUAACAUCCAUCGACUUAAAAUUAGUCAGCUUGGGAAGGAGAAGAAUUUCAACAUCGCCAUGGAACGUAAUGAGGAGGUAAUGUCUUACACACACAUCUAUUUAUAUAUAUAUAAUGAUACAUGCUAUGGUAUUUGUUAUCUUAAAAUUUUUUGGACUAAACUAAAAAUUAUGUUGCCUGGACUCUUAAAAGAUAUUUACUACUAAGAAUACAUGGAUUAGUGGUGGAAAAAUUUUGUAGCUAAACAACAAUAUAUGUCACUACAUAUUAUUAGAAAAUUGUGCUAGCUAUGAGCUAUUUAGCAACAAAUUUCGUAGCAAAUUUCAGCUUUUUUGUAAUGAUUGUCGAGUUAUGUCGGUCCCUUCUAAACCUAUGCACUUUUGAAGAAUCUGACACAUGUAUGACCACAUUUUUUAGGGUCCGAGCAACAUAGAAUAGAAGUAGUCAGGUGGUCAACUUAACGCUUAAAGUUAAAUGUUCGAAAGAAGCAUUAUAAAAUAUGUGUUUUUAUGUAUAGAUAUACUUCUAAUUUAAUGAUAAACGAACAAAUUAGAAACAAACAAACUAUGUGUAAUUAUAAAUAGGGUUAUGGUCUCUAGAUCAGACAUAUGACUUUUUUCUAAUAGUCCACCAUUAGAAAAGUGAAUUAACUCCUGGGUUGUUUCUUGAAUUUAUCUAAAUUUAAUUCCAUAAACUCCUAAUUCUACUAAUGCUUCAAGAUUUUGCUUUAGUGUUAUGUGCCUAAUGUGUGAUAAAAUAGUAACCAAUAUAUUGAUUCUUGAAUUAUUAUUUUUCUUCCGAUCUACAAGAAGGUAAGGGGAAAUAGGGUGCAAUGGCAAUUGAGGAAAAUGCAAAAUUUAUUGGAAAAUCAUUUGGAAUAGUAGAACAGAGGGAAUAAUUUAUAUACAGACUAAACUAGCUGUUUGAGGGCAUGCUUGCAUAGCUUAGAAACUAACAUCACAUACAGAGUCUGCGAGAAAAAGUUUACAAGAGCAUGAAGAAGCAAUUAAAUAAAAUGCAGGAAAUAUUCUUAUCUGAAGCACUCAUAAACCAAAUACAGUAAUAGCAAUACGAAAUUCCAGCUAAUUCUGUCUGUUCAUCAAUCAAUAUAAUAGUACUCUUAAGGGGGGCAUACUACUUGAUUGUUUACAUCAGAUUAACGAUUACAAAAUUAUAUAAACUAAUCUUCUAAUCAUGAUUAAGUGAUAUGAAUUAUUACUCCUUUUCUUUAUUCCCAUUUCCAUUACUUUCUUUCUUCUCAUCAACCGACUCCAUUUGAGUUAUUUCCAUGGCCUCUUCCUCCUCUUUCAUCUUUUUGUGAAGAAAAUUAAUCAACCCUUUAAGUGAAUCUUCAACUUCAUCUUCCUUCAACAAUUGCUCUGCCACUUCUGCUGGUGUCACAUUGGCUAUGUCAAUCAAUUCCUCAAUUUCAUUGAAAAGUUUAUGAUCUUUAAUCCCCAAGUAAUUUGCAGCAAGAAGUUUGAAGCCGCAAGGUGUGCAAUAUGCCAUGUGAAUGUGCACGUCCAUUCUGCCAGGUCGCAGCAGUGCAGGGUCGAGUUUUUCUAUGUGAUUUGUUGUGAAAAUUAUGAUUCUUUUGUCUCCACAGCUCGACCAUAGCCCGUCAAUAAAAUUUAGUAAACCUGACAAGGUGAUCUGCAAUAAAAAUAAAUAUAUUAGUAAGGUAAAGUAUUACACACAACACAAUACACUAAUACCAAAUCCAAAAUUUCCCAAUAAUUGACAAUUUAUUCAUGAAAAUCACAAAUUAAUGGAAGGUGAAAUUAUUGUAGUUCCAUGUUAGUAGAAUUUGUAAAAGUAUAUCGACUAAUCCUUAGUCAAGGACGCAUUAUAACAAUUGUUCUGAACCUCUUCAUGCUCUUGUCAUGUCGAAAUACUGCACAAAUAAAGGCCAACAUAUCCUAUCCAAUUUAUGGUAAUUAAUCAGUUUCUUAAAAACCCAUUAUCUUCCACUUGACCAAUCCCCUGACUACAGAUUUCAUACUACCCCAUAAAUUAAAAUACAUAGCCCCAACUUUUUCUAUUUAAUCAUUUGGUAUAUAUCUGAGUUCGUACCUAGUAGGAAUAGUAAAGAAAGGAAAUAGAAAAUAAAAGACUAAUUUACCGUGCUUUCUGACUGAUGAAAAUCAUUUGAACGAACAUGCAUAGCUCGAUUAACCAAAUUAGCUUUCAAGUUGAUGGUACAAUCAAUGUCCUCAAUCACCAAAAUUGACUUAUUGGUUGUGGCAACCAACAACUUCCUUAAAUCUGAAUUCCUCGUCAUUGCAGUCAACUCCAAAUCAUAUAUAUCGAAGUUUAAAUAAUUCGCUAUUGCAGCAAUCAAACUAGAUUUCCCAGUUCCCGGAGGACCAAACAACAAAUACCCUCUUUUCCAUGCCUUCCCUACUUUCCUGUAAUACUCUUUCCUCCUCAUGAAUCUCUCCAAAUCCUUCAAGAUCAUGUCUUUCUGGUCUGAUUUCAUUGCGAUUGUCUCAAAAGUGGCGGGAUGAUCAAAAUUCACCGGCUUCCACAUGUCAUGUAAACUGGACAUCCUUUCGUAACCCACAGUAUGAAUCUUGAUCGUCUUGUUUUUGUGUUUUUGCAAUAUUGCUUCUUCCAUUAUGUAUGGCAAGUAAGAAUUAAGGACAAGGUCCUUGUUUUUCUUGUGAAAUGUCAGCUCAAAGGACCUUAUUACAGAUUUCUCAGCGGAAUCCAUGUCUCUGGGGUUGUAGAAGUGUGUAGACUCUGUUUGUCUGCAGAGCCAAAUCCACUUGAAUGUCUGUCCAUUAUAAACAUCUAUCACCUGCUGGAAUAAAAUCGCAAGCUUAAAAAAAACAUCAUCUUCACAAGAUCUAUUAUGUUAAAUUAUUACGAAGGUAAAUUAAAUGUGAAAACUUACAUAAGCACUCAUGAAUAUAGAACAAUUUUUUAAAUCAAGACUUUAAUUUCAAGAAAAGUGAUUUUCACUUUUCUAAUGGUGGACUGUUAAAAAAAUAUCAUAGGUCUGAUAUGGAGACCAUAACCGUAUUUAUAAUUACACAUAGUUUGUUUGUUUCUAAUUUAUCUUGUUAUCAUUAAAUUAGAUGUUGUAUCAGCAUAUGUCUGAUCUGGAAACCACAACCCUAUUUAUAAUUACACUUAGUUUGUUUGUUUCUAAUUUGUCUGGUUAAUUAAAUUAGAAGUUGUAUCAGCAUAUCUACACAUAAUAACACAUAUCUUAUGAUGCUUCUUAUCUUUACAUUUAACUUUAAGCAUUAAGUUGAUUGUUUGACUUGCUCGGACCCUAAAAAUGUGGUCAUACACGUGUGAGAUUCUUCAAAAGUGCAUAGCUUUAGAAGAAUCCGACAUACACUCGACAAUCACUACAAAAACAACUAAAAUUUGCUGGAAAUUUUAUUGCUAAAUAGAUCAUAGCUAACAUAAUAUUUUUUAUAAUCUGUAGUGACAAAUGUUUGUUUACCCACAAAAUUAGUCCACUCUAGUCUAUGUAUUGUUAGUUGUAAAUAUCUUUCAAGAGUCCAAGCAAUACAACUUUUAGUUUGGUCUAGAACUUCUAUGAUAACAAAUACCGUAACACGCAAUAUCAUUAUAUAUAUAGAUGUGUGUGUGCGCACAAAACAUUACCUCCUCAUUACGUUCCAUGGUGAUGUUGAAAUUUGUCUCCUUCUCAGUCUUACUUAUUUUAAGUCUACGGAUGUGAGGGGACAACUUGUUAGCCAAAUAGAUUGUUGCAGCUUCAUAAAUUUUGUUGUUGACCAGGCCAUCAAAAUCCUCAAUCACCAUCGUUAGCUGUUUUGAGAACUUGGUGAACAUGUUUUUGAGUCCAAAGAAGAGAUAUGCAUGGAGUUCCCUGGGGAUGUAGUUGUGGAUUAUCGUAUGAACCAACAUGACUGUUGCAGCAAUUGAGCCUACUCUCGAUAAAACCCUCUUGGCUAGGGCCAUUUUCAAUUCUGCCGAUGAAGAGGACAUGCUUCUUAAGGGCUUUUUGGCUAGGGGGUGUGUAACAACUAAAUUUUUCUUCCUGAUAAACGAAUACACAAGAAAAUAGCGUCAAGUUUUUAAUAUUUGAUUCCAAUGAUGUGCGGGGAUUACAAUGCUUAUAAAAUCUUAUAUAGAAAGGUGUAAUCCUCUAAUUCUUAUCAUCACGACCAUCAACUAAUGGUCUUUGCUUGUUCUUGAGUUGAUGAAUUAUUUGUUAUUGAAAUUUUAGCACGAAUAUGGAGCUAGGGUUUGAUCACACAUAUGAAGGUAUAGAAACUUACGACUCACCACAAGAAAUGAAGAACUUGCAGAUCGCCACUAGAGUAUGUAGUUCUCUCCUGUUCUUCGAAUGAUCUUCCGAUUGCAGAUGCCUUCUCUCCAAUUCCUUGAAUGUCCCCCUUGAGAGGUAUGUACACCCCUAUUUAUAGUUGUGGAAGACAGACAAUUUAAGUGUAGAUGAACUCUCUUGCUUGAUUUUGAUUGGCUCAUUUGAAAAGGUCACAUUUAAUUGGCCAAGACAUGUCAGUUGGAACAUUUGUCUGCGUUUGAUUGGUGUUUAAUAUGACUAUGAGUGCCACAUCAUUUGAAUACGUGUCAUCAUUUUAUUUGUUCUUUUAUUUGACUUGGUGCGUCAUAUCAUUUGACACGUGUAAUGGGCCUUGGGCUAAUCGAUCGGGCUCAUUAUUUGAAGACCAACUCAAUGGACUAGCUCACAUUAAAUUGAACUUUUCUCUAAAUCCAUAUCUUGGAAUUAAAUAAUUUGAUCUUAAUUUGGGUAUGAUAUUCUGGAAUUAAUGAAUUUAUCUAAAUUUAAUCUAGAUUUAAUUCCAUAAACUCGUAAGUCUACUAAUGCUUCAAAAUUCUACUUUAAUGUUAUCUGCCUAACGUGUGAUAAAAUAGUAACCAAUAUAUUGAUUCUCGAAUUAUUUUAUUUUUUUCCGAUCUACACGAAAGUAAGGGGAAAUAGGGGGUGUACUACGAAGAUCUAACCACCACUCUGCAAAACUUACCUUUUAAGUUUAUGUGAUACCUUCUUAUCCCACAAUACUUUAGCGGCAAGCCUUCAUUUCAUCCAUGACGCCCCAAUGUGAUGUAUGACAUCAUCCUCGAUGUCCCCACUAUUCAAGAGUACAGACCCAAGAUACUUACAACUCCCUCUUGGAAAUAGUCUGUGUGGCAAGCUUCACUUCCAUGUACUCCUAGAUUUUGACUUUAAAUACUCCAUUUUAAUCCUGCUUAACUUAAAUCCUUUGGACUCUAAAGUAUGUCUCCAAAUCUUCAACCUAGCAUUAACUUUGUCACAUGUCUUAUCCUAUGUGGCAAGCUUCACUUCCAUGUCCCCAACACUGGAUUUGCACUCCAAAUACUCCAUUUUAGUCCUGCUCAACUUGAACCCUUUGGACUCUAAGUAUUUCUCCAAAUCUUCAACCUAGCAUUAACUUUGUCACAUGUCUUAUCAACGAACAAUAUGUCGUCUGCAAACAACAUAUACCAAGGAACCUCCUCUUGAAUAGACCAUGUCAACUCAUCCAUCUCCAAAGCAAAUAGGAAAGGGUUAAGAAUUGAUCCAUGAUGUAGCCCCAUCUCAACUAGAAAGUUCUCCGAGUCUCCUUUGACCGUUCUAACCCGAGUCCUAGCUCCAUCAUUCAUGUCAUUUAUCGCCCUAAUAUAUACCAUCAGGACACCUUAGCCUCGAAACACCUGCAGAGAACAUCCCUUAGGACUUUGUCAUAAGCCUUUUUAAGGUCAAUGAACACCAUAUGAAGAUUCCUCUUCUUUUUCCUAUACUUCUCCAGUAGUCUCUGCACAAGGUGGAUAUUUUCAGUAGUUGAACACCCUAGCAUGCAUCCAAAUUGCUUCCUAGAAAUGGACACCCCUAUCCUCACCCUCAUCUCUACGACACUCUCCCAAACCUUUAUUGUGUGGCUCAGCAAUUUGAUACCCCAGUAAUUGUUACAAUUUUGGAUUGUUCUUGUACAAUAGAACCAUUGUACUCCACCUCCAUUCGUUGAGCAUUUUUGUCAUCUUAAAAAUAGCAUUAAAUAAAAUAAUACGGAAUAGUAAACUAAUAAAACAUAACUAAUUCUAUUGACCGGAGAAACCAAAUGCAAAACUAAUUACUUCUAGUCUUCUACCCGAAUCCUUGCCCUCCACACCCUUCUAUCGGGGUCAUGUCCUCUAUUAGUUGAAUGCUUGUCACCUCCCCUAGUACUUAUUAACCUACCCUUACCUCUCCUAAGCUCUACAACGCCAAUCUCUCAUAUAUCCUCACUAGGGCGUUUAUGUAUCUCCUUUUGACAUAUCCGAACUAUCUCACAUCUUGUUCGCCACGGAUGUCACUUCCACCUUGGCCCAAAUGUUUUCAUUUCUGACCAUAUUUUUCCUUGUAAGCCCAUAAAUCUAUCUUAACAUCCUCAUUUCCGCAACUUUCAUCUUCUGGAUAGAAGAGUUCUUGACUGGCCAACACCCCACCCCAUACAAUAAAGUCGGUUUGACUACUGCUCUAUAUCACUUACAUUAAAGUAUAGGGUCACAUCCACCUUGGCCCAAAUGUUUUCAUUUCUGACCAUAUUUUUCCUUGUAAGCCCACAAAUCUAUCUUAACAUCCUCAUUUCCGCAACUUUCAUCUUCUGGAUAGAAGAGUUCUUGACUAGCCAACACCCCACCCAUACAAUAAAAUCGAUUUGACUACUGCUCUAUAUCACUUACAUUAAAGUAUAGUGGCACUUUUUAUCACACUCCAGAAGCUAGCCUCCAUUUUAACCACCCUGCACCAAUGCGAUGUAUGACUUGCUCGUCAAUCUUUUUGUUGUCUUGGAUAAUAGUCCCCGGGUACUUGAAACUCCCUUUCUUAGAGAUGACUUGAGAAUCCAACCUGACUUUAACAUUCGCUAUAUGAGGCACAUCAUUGAACUUGUGUUCCACGUACUCUCGGGGUGGGGGGAGGGACCUACCCUUGGCGAAGGGGUGUCAAGUGACACUUGCAUGUUCAAGCCCUACUAUCCUUGUUAUUAUUUUUUUUACUAUAACCAUUGACACCCCUUAAUGAAAAUUCUGGUUCCGCCAUUACGUACUAUGUCUUAAUUCUUACUCAGUUUGAAACCUUUAGACUCUAGGGUCUGUCUCCACACCUUUAGCUUGUUGUUAACUUUGUUACAUGUCUCGUUAAUCAGUAUAAUGUCAUCAACAAAUAACAUGCACCGAGGCAUCUCACCUUGAAUGUGUCGCGUCAGAACAUUGAUCCCUAAGGCAAACAAAAACGGGUUAAGAGUCGAUCUCUGAUGCAACCACAUCACCACUAGAAAGUGACCUGAGUCACCUCCCCCCGACCUCUCCCCGGGUCUAAGAUCCACCAUACAUGUCCUUAGUAACCCUAAUGUACAUGAUUGGAACACCUCUGGUCUCCAAACAUCUCCACAGAACCUCUAUAACUUUGUCGUAUGCUUUUUCAAGGUUAAUGAACACCAUGUCUAGGUUCCUUUCCCUAUACUGCUCCACCUAUCUCCUUACGAUGUGGAUGGCUUCCGUAGUUGAUAGCACCAACAUAUAACCGAAUUGGUUCUCAGAAAUAGAAACCCUCCUUCUCACCUGCAUCUCUCUCUCCAUAUAUAUAUAUAUAUAUAUAACCUUGUGCAUGCAUAGACACAUUAUAGUAAAUCUUGAUUCUUGAGCGCCUAAACAUAAUUCCUGACUUUACUAUUAUUGGCAUGAUAUGUUUCAUUUGCCAAUUCAUAAAGAAUAAUAUGGGGAAAUAAUGCAAGUCAACAUGAACAGAGACUAUUGGAAAAUAAGUGGAAGAAACUUGGGGAUUGCAUGAAAUGCUUCUCAAAUUUUGUAAAUGCUAACUCAUUGUAGUCAAACCCAUAGGUCUUUUAGUUAAAUUGAUGGAUCGGUUUGAGUUCGAAUGCGUUAGAACGAAAAAAAAUUCCUGUCUAAAAUUUGUUAGGGUCAUUAUAGAUCAUUUUGCGCCGGUAUUUAACUUUUGUCUUUGUUUGUUCACGAGUCUUACCGAAUUGACAAACUUGUGUUGUUCAUAAGUCAUGUUGGGAAGGACAUGACUUAAAAUAUAAUGUUCAUUCUAUUUAUCUUUAAACUGUUCAUAGAUUUUGUCAGUAGUGCAAACUUACCUUGUUGACAAGUCAUGUUGAGUGAGGCACAAUUCUAGAUACAAUCUUCAUUCUGCCUAUCUUUAAACUAUUUACAAGUCUUUCCGGAUUGGUAAAGUUGUACAACAAGUUAAAGUUUGCGAAGUUUUUAAAAAUGGGAACAAAAACUAAAUACUUGUACAAUUUACUAGAUAUGCUCUUUUAUAAUUUAGUUUAUAUAGACCAAAUUAAAUGGAAAGAAAGGUGGUAUAUUCUAUAAUUGGCUCUCUUUUUUCUGUGAUUUUAACUCCCCCAAUUGGUAAACCAUUUUCUUCCUCCUUUUCUUUUAUCCCAUUUUCAUCACUUCUUUCUUCUUUUGAAGAAAAUUCAAUCAACCCUUUACCUCUUCUUCAUCUUCCACUUAGGGAUGACAAUGGGGCAGGACGGUUGCAGAGAGGGGCAGGUUAUAGUGUUUGUGGGGCGGAGCGGGUUAGAGCUUAUGCAAGAACGGGGCGGGUACAAAAUAUCUUUGAAGAAAAACAUGUGGGGCAGGGCGAGUACGUGGGUUGGGGAUAUAUGCAUCCAAUGAUUGUUUUCUAAACCACUCAACUGUAAUCCAUGCCACAUAAAUUGUUAAUGCUAUAGUAAGAUAACAGAAAUAUGUUUACAAGGAUCGUUUAAAUAUUUUUUAAGAUAAGAUUUUGAAUGAGAAUAAACCCAACACAAUCUAAUUACUGGAGAUGGUAUAUGUUUAUUAUUUGCAGAAUUUGCCCUGCCCCAAACUCUAUUAUAAGCAAAAAUUUACAAUGCAUUCACACGUUGAAUAAAAUAAAACUCAUGGUAUGCCAUAUUUUUCUGGGCACUACUGAUGACUCUUCCCACAUUGUCACAACAGCUAAUAAACUAUCUUCGACUUCAUCUUAUUCUUUAUGUUUCUCUUUUUUUCCCUUUAUAUGUACAAGUUUCCUUCAGUUCUUUUCGUUUCGCAAGCAAUUUUAGUAUGAUUUCCUUUCCAGGUUUGUCCAAAUUUCUUUUUGUUCUCUUUCAUUUAUAUAUAUAUAUAUAUAUUCUACAAGUUGGCUUUCAAAUGAAGAUAUAUAUAUAUUAUUUCAACAUUAAUAGUAAAUAUUGAUAACUUGUACAUUUCUUUUAAUUAAAAAAAUUAUAAAUUAUUUGGGUGGGUUUAUGUGGGGCGGGGCAAAAACAAAAAAUUAUGCUAUGCAGGGCAAGACGGGACGGGGUAAAGUCUUUGCAGGUUCAUGUGGGUUUUCCCUAAGUCCCAAGGAGGCAGGUUGGAAUGUACUCAUCCGCCCCGCCCCGCCCCAUUGUCAUCCCUACUUCCACUUGUGGUAUUUCCACUUUCUUAGGCUUGGUCUCAGUCUCUUCCUUCUCUUUUAUCUUUUUGUGAAUAAAAUUAAUCAACCCUUUUAGGGAAUCUUCAGCUUCAUCUUCCUUCAACAGUUGUUCUGCCACUUCUGCUGGUGUCACAUUGGCUGUGUCAAUCAAGUCCUCAAUUUCUUUAAACAAUUUAUGAUCCUUAAUCCCCAAGUAAUUGGCAGCAAGAAGUUUGAAGCCACACGGUGUGCAAUAUGCCAUGUGAAUGUGCACGUCCAUUCUGCCAGGUCGCAACAAUGCAGGGUCGAGUUUUUCUAUGUGAUUUGUUGUGAAAAUUAUGAUUCUUUCAUCUCCACAGCUAGACCAUAAUCCAUCAAUAAAAUUCAGUAAACCUGACAAGGUCACCUGCAAUAAAAAAUUAUACUGUAUUAGUAAGGUAAAGUAUUACAGAAUACACUAAUACCAAAUACAAAUUUUCCCAAUAAUUGACUCUUAAUUUAUUCAAGAAAGCCACAAAUUAAUGGAGCUUGAAAUUAUUGUAGUUCCAUGUAAGUAGAAUUUGUAAAAAUAUGUCGACUAAUCUAUAGGCUAGAGCACAUUAUAACAAUUGUUCUGAACCCCUUCACAUUCUUGUCAUGUCAAAUACUGCACAGAAAAGAGGCCAACAUAUCCUAUCCAAUUUAUGGUAAUUGAUUAGUUAUCUUAUAAACUGUAAUAGCAGGAUCAAAACCUGGUUUCUUUCCCUUGGCCAUGCUCUGACCACAAAUUUCAUGCUACCCUGUAAACUAAAAUACAUUGCCCUAACUUACUAUUGUGUAUACAAACUUUUUCUAUUUCAUCAUUGGUAUUUGAAACACACCGUCCGAUUAAUCUGAGUUCAUACCUUGUAGGAAUAGUAAAGAUAGGAAAUGGAAAAUAAAAGACUAAUUUACCUUGUUUUCUUGCUGAUAACCAUUUGAAUUAACAAACGCAGCUCGAUUAGCCAAAUUAUCUUGCAAGUCAAUGGUACAAUCAAUGUCCUCCACCACCAAAAUGGACUUAUUGGCUGUGGCAACCAACAACUUCUUUAAAUCUGAAUUCCUCAUUAGCACAGUCAACUCCAAAUCAUAUAUAUCGAAGUUCAAAUAAUUCGCCAUUGCAGCAAUCAAACUAGAUUUCCCAGUCCCCGGAGGACCAAACAACAAAUACCCUCUUUUCCAUGCCUUUCCGACUUUCCUAUAAUAAUCUUUCCUCUUCACAAAUCUCUCCAAAUCCUUCAAGAUCGUGUCUUUUUGGUCCUGUUCCAUUGCGAUUGUCCCAAAAGUGGCAGGAUGAUCGAGAUUCACAGGCCUCCACAUGUCAUGUAAAUUGUACAUGUUUUCAUAAUCCACAGUGUGAAUCUUGAUCGUCUUGUUUUCGUGUUUUUGCAGUUUUGCUUCUUUCAUGAUGUAUGGCAAGUAAGAAUUAAUGACAAGGUCCUUGUUUUUCUUGUGAAAUGUCAGCUCAAAGGUCCUGAUUUCAGAUUUUAGAGUGGAAUUCAUGUCCCUGUGAUUGUAGAAGUUUGUAGACUGUGUUUGUCUGCAGCAGAGCCAAAUCCACUUGAAUGUCUGUCCGUUAUAAACAUCUGUCACCUGUUGGAAUAAAACCUUAAGCUUAAAAAUCAUCACCUUCAUAAGAUCUAUUAUCUAAAAUUAUCAAGUUGUUAAAUUAAAUGCAGAAGCUUACCUGAACUCAUGAAUAUGGAUGAUCUUUAAGACAUACAAAUUUUAAUUUUCACUUUACGGAGGGUGGAUUAUUAGGACAAAAAGUCACAUGUCUGAUUUGGAAGCCAUAAUCCUACUCAUAAUUAUACAUAGUUCUCCCUUUCUAAUUUACUGUGUCUAUCAUUAAAUUAGAAAUUAUAUAAGCAUACUUGCACAUACACAUAAAAACACAUGCUUCUUAUGAACAUUUGACUUUAAGCAUUAAGCAGAUUGCAGACUACUUCUAAUCUAUGCUGCUCGGACCCUCAAAAUAUGUUGUUGCACACGUGUCAGGUCUUCCAAAAUACAUAGCUUUUGAAAGAUCCGACACACCCGGCAAUAUUUUUGAAGAGUCCAAGCAACAUAGGCCAUAGCUUCUAGUUUAGAUCAAAGCUAUUAUGAUAAUAAAUACUAUAACAUACAUUAUAUAUAUGUGCAAGACAUUACCUCCUCGUUACGUUCCAUGGUGAUGUUGAAGUUGUUCUCCUUCGCAGGUUUACUGAUUUUAAGUCGCCGGAUGUUAGGGGACAACUUGUUGCCCAAAUAGAUAGCAACAGCUUCAUAAAUUUCAUUGUUAACGAGGCCAUCAAAUUCGUCAAUCACCAUUGUUAGCUGAUUCGAGAAUUUGAUGAACAUGUUUUUG